rnacentral:rRNA from 1 species
UACCGUGAGGGAAAGGCGAAAAGAACCCCGGCGAGGGGAGUGAAAAAGAACCUGAAACCGUGUACGUACAAGCAGUGGGAGCCCCACCACUAAGCCAGUGGUGAACUCCACAUACGCAUCCUUUGCUGAGGAUACGGUUAACGGAGCGAAAGCGACGUUCAACCGCAAAAGAAGCAGAGGGGGCUUAGUGGUGGGGUGACUGCGUACCUUUUGUAUAAUGGGUCAGCGACUUAUAUUCUGUAGCAAGGUUAACCGAAUAGGGGAGCCGGAGGGAAACCGAGUCUUAAUUGGGCGUUAAGUUGCAGGGUAUAGACCCGAAACCCGGUGAUCUAGCCAUGGGCAGGUUGAAGGUUGGGUAACACUAACUGGAGGACCGAACCGACUAAUGUUGAAAAAUUAGCGGAUGACCUGUGGCUGGGGGUGAAAGGCCAAUCAAACCGGGAGAUAGCUGGUUCUCCCCGAAAGCUAUUUAGGUAGCGCCUCGUGAAUUCAUCUCCGGGGGUAGAGCACUGUUUCGGCUAGGGGGCCAUCCCGGCUUACCAACCCGAUGCAAACUGCGAAUACCGGAGAAUGUUAUCACGGGAGACACACGGCGGGUGCUAACGUCCGUCGUGAAGAGGGAAACAACCCAGACCGCCAGCUAAGGUCCCAAAGUCAUGGUUAAGUGGGAAACGAUGUGGGAAGGCCCAGACAGCCAGGAUGUUGGCUUAGAAGCAGCCAUCAUUUAAAGAAAGCGUAAUAGCUCACUGGUCGAGUCGGCCUGCGCGGAAGAUGUAACGGGGCUAAACCAUG